UACGUAGGGGGCAAGCGUUGUCCGGAAUCAUUGGGCGUAAAGCGCGUGUAGGCGGCUUGGUAAGUCCGCUCUGAAAGCCCGGGGGCUCAACCCCCGGGAGGCGGGUGGAUACUGUCAAGCUCGAGUCCGGAAGAGGCGAGUGGAAUUCCUGGUGUAGCGGUGAAAUGCGCAGAUAUCAGGAGGAACACCAAUGGCGAAGGCAGAUCUCUGGGCCGUAACUGACGCUGAGGAGCGAAAGCAUGGGGGAGCGAACAGG
rnacentral:rRNA from 1 species